rnacentral:rRNA from 1 species
GGGUUGUGAGGUUAAGCGACUAAGCGUACACGGUGGAUGCCCUGGCAGUCAGAGGCGAUGAAGGACGUGCUAAUCUGCGAAAAGCGUCGGUAAGGUGAUAUGAACCGUUAUAACCGGCGAUGUCCGAAUGGGGAAACCCAGUGCAAUUCGUUGCACUAUCGUUAACUGAAUACAUAGGUUAACGAGGCGAACCGGGGGAACUGAAACAUCUAAGUACCCCGAGGAAAAGAAAUCAACCGAGAUUCCCCCAGUAGCGGCGAGCGAACGGGGAGCAGCCCAGAGUCUGAAUCAGCUUGUGUGUUAGUGGAACGGUCUGGAAAGUCCGACGGUACAGGGUGAUAGUCCCGUACACCAAAAUGCACAGGUUGUGAACUCGAAGAGUAGGGCGGGACACGUGGUAUCCUGUCUGAAUAUGGGGGGACCAUCCUCCAAGGCUAAAUACUCCUGACUGACCGAUAGUGAACCAGUACCGUGAGGGAAAGGCGAAAAGAACCCCGGCGAGGGGAGUGAAAAAGAACCUGAAACCGUGUACGUACAAGCAGUGGGAGCACCUUCGGGUGUGACUGCGUACCUUUUGUAUAAUGGGUCAGCGACUUAUAUUCUGUAGCAAGGUUAACCGUAUAGGGGAGCCGCAGGGAAACCGAGUCUUAACUGGGCGUUAAGUUGCAGGGUAUAGACCCGAAACCCGGUGAUCUAGCCAUGGGCAGGUUGAAGGUUGGGUAACACUAACUGGAGGACCGAACCGACUAAUGUUGAAAAAUUAGCGGAUGACUUGUGGCUGGGGGUGAAAGGCCAAUCAAACCGGGAGAUAGCUGGUUCUCCCCGAAAGCUAUUUAGGUAGCGCCUCGUGAAUUCAUCUUCGGGGGUAGAGCACUGUUUCGGCUAGGGGGUCAUCCCGACUUACCAACCCGAUGCAAACUACGAAUACCGAAGAAUGUUAUCACGGGAGACACACGGCGGGUGCUAACGUCCGUCGUGAAGAGGGAAACAACCCAGACCGCCAGCUAAGGUCCCAAAGUCAUGGUUAAGUGGGAAACGAUGUGGGAAGGCACAGACAGCCAGGAUGUUGGCUUAGAAGCAGCCAUCAUUUAAAGAAAGCGUAAUAGCUCACUGGUCGAGUCGGCCUGCGCGGAAGAUGUAACGGGGCUAAACCAUGCACCGAAGCUGCGGCAGCGACACUAUGUGUUGUUGGGUAGGGGAGCGUUCUGUAAGCCUGCGAAGGUGUGCUGUGAGGCAUGCUGGAGGUAUCAGAAGUGCGAAUGCUGACAUAAGUAACGAUAAAGCGGGUGAAAAGCCCGCUCGCCGGAAGACCAAGGGUUCCUGUCCAACGUUAAUCGGGGCAGGGUGAGUCGACCCCUAAGGCGAGGCCGAAAGGCGUAGUCGAUGGGAAACAGGUUAAUAUUCCUGUACUUGGUGUUACUGCGAAGGGGGGACGGAGAAGGCUAUGUUAGCCGGGCGACGGUUGUCCCGGUUUAAGCAUGUAGGCUGGUUAUCCAGGCAAAUCCGGAUAAUCAAGGCUGAGGUGUGAUGACGAGGCACUACGGUGCUGAAGUAACAAAUGCCCUGCUUCCAGGAAAAGCCUCUAAGCAUCAGGUAACAUCAAAUCGUACCCCAAACCGACACAGGUGGUCAGGUAGAGAAUACCAAGGCGCUUGAGAGAACUCGGGUGAAGGAACUAGGCAAAAUGGUGCCGUAACUUCGGGAGAAGGCACGCUGGUGUGUAGGUGAAGCCCCUGCGGGUGGAGCUGAGACCAGUCGAAGAUACCAGCUGGCUGCAACUGUUUAUUAAAAACACAGCACUGUGCAAACACGAAAGUGGACGUAUACGGUGUGACGCCUGCCCGGUGCCGGAAGGUUAAUUGAUGGGGUUAUCCGUAAGGAGAAGCUCUUGAUCGAAGCCCCGGUAAACGGCGGCCGUAACUAUAACGGUCCUAAGGUAGCGAAAUUCCUUGUCGGGUAAGUUCCGACCUGCACGAAUGGCGUAAUGAUGGCCAGGCUGUCUCCACCCGAGACUCAGUGAAAUUGAACUCGCUGUGAAGAUGCAGUGUACCCGCGGCAAGACGGAAAGACCCCGUGAACCUUUACUAUAGCUUGACACUGAACAUUGAGCCUUGAUGUGUAGGAUAGGUGGGAGGCUUUGAAGCGUGGACGCCAGUCUGCGUGGAGCCAACCUUGAAAUACCACCCUUUAAUGUUUGAUGUUCUAACGUUGGCCCCUGACCGGGGUUGCGGACAGUGUCUGGUGGGUAGUUUGACUGGGGCGGUCUCCUCCCAAAGCGUAACGGAGGAGCACGAAGGUUAGCUAAUCCUGGUCGGACAUCAGGAGGUUAGUGCAAUGGCAUAAGCUAGCUUGACUGCGAGCGUGACGGCGCGAGCAGGUGCGAAAGCAGGUCAUAGUGAUCCGGUGGUUCUGAAUGGAAGGGCCAUCGCUCAACGGAUAAAAGGUACUCCGGGGAUAACAGGCUGAUACCGCCCAAGAGUUCAUAUCGACGGCGGUGUUUGGCACCUCGAUGUCGGCUCAUCACAUCCUGGGGCUGAAGUAGGUCCCAAGGGUAUGGCUGUUCGCCAUUUAAAGUGGUACGCGAGCUGGGUUUAGAACGUCGUGAGACAGUUCGGUCCCUAUCUGCCGUGGGCGCUGGAGAAUUGAGGGGGGCUGCUCCUAGUACGAGAGGACCGGAGUGGACGCAUCACUGGUGUUCGGGUUGUCAUGCCAAUGGCACUGCCCGGUAGCUAAAUGCGGAAGAGAUAAGUGCUGAAAGCAUCUAAGCACGAAACUUGCCCCGAGAUGAGUUCUCCCUGAGACUUUAAGUCUCCUGAAGGAACGUUGAAGACGACGACGUUGAUAGGCCGGGUGUGUAAGCGCAGCGAUGCGUUGAGCUAACCGGUACUAAUGAACCGUGAGGCUUAACCUUACAACGCCGAAG